rnacentral:rRNA from 1 species
AUUGAACGCUGGCGGAAUGCUUUACACAUGCAAGUCGAACGGCAGCACGGGGGCAACCCUGGUGGCGAGUGGCGAACGGGUGAGUAAUACAUCGGAACGUGCCCAGUCGUGGGGGAUAACGUAGCGAAAGCUACGCUAGUACCGCAUACGAUCUACGGAUGAAAGCGGGGGAUCGCAAGACCUCGCGCGAUUGGAGCGGCCGAUGGCAAAUUAGGUAGUUGGUGGGGUAAAGGCUCACCAAGCCAACGAUCUGUAGCUGGUCUGAGAGGACGCCCAGCCACACUGGGACUGAGACACGGCACAGACUCCUACGGGAGGCAGCAGUGGGGAAUUUUGGACAAUGGGCGCAAGCCUGAUCCAGCCAUUCCGCGUGCAGGAUGAAGGCCCUCGGGUUGUAAGCUGCUUUUGUACGGAACGAAACGGCGCUUUCUAAUACAGAGCGCUAAUGACGGUACCGUAAGAAUAAGCACCGGCUAACUACGUGCCAGCCGCCGCAGUAA